CUUCUCUCCUUUUCCUCUUCUUUCCUUUCCCCUCUUCCUUUUUGUCUCCCUCUCAGUUUUCCCUUUUUCUCCUUCCUCCUCUCAAUUCUCUUUCCUUCUUCUCUCCUCUCUCCUCUUUCCUUCCCUUCUGUCUCAGGCCUCUCCACCUCUCCUCUCAGCUGUCCCUACCUCCUCUCUUCCCUUACUGCCUCCCCUCCUCUUUCCCUUUCCCUUCUCCUCCUCUCCCUUCCUUCCUUCUUUCUUCUUCCCUUUCCCUUUUCUCAUCUCCCUCUCAGCCCUCCCCUCUCCUUUCCCCUUCCCUCUCCUCUCCUACCUUUCUGUGUUUUCCAUCCUCUCCUAUCUCCUUCCCACCUUUCUAUCUCCCUCCCCACUCUCCCUCUUUUCCAUCCCCUUCAUCCUUCCAGUCUUCUUCCUGUCUUUCCCCUCCUUCCCCUUUCCAUCUCUCCUCCUCUUCUUUCCUUCCUCUCCCUCUCAAUCCUCCUCAUUUUCCUUCUAACUAACCUCAGACUUCCCCCAUUCUUCUUCCCCUCUCCCUUCUCCAUUUUCUCUUUCCUCUACCUUGAUCUCUUCCUCUCCUCUUCUACCCCUUUCCCCUCCUUCUUCCCUUCCCUCUACCUUCUCUAUUCUCCCCUUCUUCUUUCUUCCUUCUUCCUCCCCUCCUUCACCUCUCUCCUCGCCCUUUCACUACUCUCCCACUUCCUCUUUUCACCUCUUCUUCUCUCUUUCCUUUCUUCUCAUCCCUUUUUUCCUUUCUUUCUCCCUCUUCCUCUCUUUUUCUUUUCCCCUCGCCCCCCUCCUUUCCUCCCCUUUCCCCCUCUUUUCUCCUCCCCUCUCCCCCUCUUUUCUCCUCCCCUCUCCCCCUCUCUCCUCCUCCCCUCUUCCCCUCUCCUCCCCUCGCCCCCUGUCUCUCCCUCCUCCUCUCUCCCUCUCUCCUCUCCUCCCUUCUCCUCCUCUUUCCCCUUCUCCUCUCCUCCUCUCUCCCCCUCUCUUCUCUCCUCCCCCUCUCUUCUCUCCUCCCUCUCUCCCCUCCUCCUCUCUCCUGGCAGACAGCUACUCCCCACCUUGGUGUCAGCCCCACCUAACCCGGUCCACCGAGGCGCGAGGCGCGGAGUCGUCCGGGCUUCCUAG
rnacentral:lncRNA from 1 species